CAAGGUCAUUCGGGGCGGUUUGAUGUGAAGUGGUGUAUUGUAGAGACUUCUCUUUAUAGUGGUGGUAAUAGGAACCAGGGGUCGCUGUGUCUUCAGCGGAAAUAUAUCUGUUUUAUUUACUAUUCAAAACCACAGGUAACACUUAACGUGUCGUCUGAGCUUGAUGAAAGUAGUAAAUCUGAAAGAAAAGGGCUAUUUUGCCUUAGAGUACCCUUCAUUGUAUCCACUGACCAUGAAUAGAUAAUGGCUAAAUAAAAUACAUGUGUUACAGUAUGUUUAGGUCAAAAUUGCAUCACAAAUCUACCGCUGAACAAUGUCUGAGACGAGGCUGAGUGUUCAUAACCAUUUUCAUGCAAUAACUUCUGGGAAGGAGCUUCUAGAGGCAUUCAACUCUAAGACGUCUGGUUCCUAUCACCACCACUGUAAACGAUUCUGUCUUGAGCUGCAGCUGGGUCUCAUGGGGCCAAUGCAGAGCGGUGCCGGGGACACGGCGGUCCACGAGGUCACGCUUUUCACAGAUCUCCCCCAGCAGGCGGACAUCCGCAUCACACAGAGUGUAAGACCUCCCUCUUUCACACACAAACACACUCAUACACAUUCAGAUUCAGGCCCCAGUUCUGGA
ensembl:lncRNA